rnacentral:lncRNA from 1 species
AGUGAGCCUGGGUUCUCAGUCACUGGAACCUUCGUUGCUGCCACGUUUCGCGCGAGCAGGGCAUCUGUGUGCAUUUUUCAGAACUUGUCAUCAGAAUCAACCAUUUUCUGAGUGAAUUCAUUUACAAAAGGGCAAGAAAAAUGAAGAUGAACCGCCAACCCUGGCAUGUGGCAUCAAGGAACCUUUGUUGCAAUGCAUGUCCAUGGAGGCAGGUAAGAUGCGUCGACGUGCAGCCCAUCAGCUGUGCAUGCAUGAGUUCAGGACCAUCUUCAGAAUUAUUAAUCCAUCAGCUGGUGUUCAUUGCAUCCUCGAUGACCAUUUCUUUCUGCCACACAGUCCACUCAAUUGUCGCUCUGCUAAGGAGAAAUAGUCGCUCUAAUCUUGGGCCUUUUUUCUCUACAUACAAACAAGUGGUAGUUAGUCUCACAAUGUACAUAGGUAGAUGAUCAACCCUGCAGAUCGAUGCUGCUCAACUUACAAUGUCAUCGCCUCCUGCUGUCAAGAGUAAACAAAAAACAUCAUCACAAUCACAUGGCUGUAAUAAGCUAGCUAGCACUACUAAUUACCAAACGCGUGUGUCCGUCUUAACUUGGGAGUAGUAGCAUACAUAAUUUUCUUACCCAUUAGUUUACUACGUCCUUUGAUGGAGCUUGCCUAGGUCAAAGAUAUCAGCUGUCCUGCAUGGUGGAGCACUACCCGUUGCUGCUGCUCCAU